rnacentral:tRNA from 1 species
GCCGAGGUAACUCAACGGUAGAGUGCUUCCCUGAAAAGGAAGAGGUAGUGGGUUCGACCCCCACCCUCGGCACCA